UACGGAGGGUGCGAGCGUUGUCCGGAAUCAUUGGGCGUAAAGGGCGCGUAGGUGGCCCGGUCAGUCUUUGGUGAAAGCGCGGGGCUCAACCCUGCGUCGGCCAGGGAUACUGCCGCGGCUCGAGCACUGUAGAGGCAGGCGGAAUUCCGGGUGUAGCGGUGGAAUGCGUAGAGAUCCGGAAGAACACCGGUGGCGAAGGCGGGUCUCUGGGCCGAUACUGACGCUGAGGAGCGAAAGCGUGGGGAGCGAACAGG
rnacentral:rRNA from 1 species